UACGAGGGGUGCAAGCGUUGCUCGGAAUUAUUGGGCGUAAAGGGUAGGUAGGUGGUCUCAUUUGUCUGCGGUGAAAGCCUUGGGCUUAACUCAAGAAGUGCCGCAGAAACGGUGAGACUGGAGUACUGGAGAGGGUCGUGGAAUUCCCGGUGUAGCGGUGAAAUGCGCAGAUAUCAGGAGGAACACCGAUGGCGAAGGCAGGUCUCUGGGCCACUACUGACGCUGGAGAAGCGAAAGCAUGGGGAGCGAACAGG
rnacentral:rRNA from 1 species